ensembl:lncRNA LOC103691053 uncharacterized LOC103691053
CUCAACUGAAGAACGCUCAUAGCACAGAGACCCUGGACCACACUUCCCAGAAGUCUCCGCGUCAGCUCGCGGCAUCCCUGUGUGCUAGAUGUUGUGGAACAGUUGAAGAACACUUCUGGUAGUGGGUGAGAAAAAGUGUGGAAUUUGUGGCCGCUUCAGAUUGUCCACAGCUGCUGUGAUUUGCCUCGUGCUCCGGCAUCGGUGUGAUUUUACCAGCUGCGGAGACUUUGUGGAUGGCCUGACAUUUGGACUUCUGGGGACUUUUCAGAAUGCUGGGGCCCCAAGAGGGGUGGGUGUUGUUUGGUUGUUGCUGGUUGUUCAGUGGGGCUGUGGGUGGUUCGUUGGUUGGUGGUUGCUGGUUGUUCAGUGGGGCUGUGGGUGGUUCGUUGGUUGGUGGUUGCUGAUUGCUGUUGGCUGCAGUUUGUUAAGUGGUCGCAUGCAAAGAAGAAACAGCGAGAACAGCAAGGAUCAAACUUGCCCCCAAGAAACUUGAUGCCCCUGAUCAGAAGAAAGUAGUCAAUCAAUAACAUCCACUCUUUCACACACACACCCCAACACACCUUAUUCAGGGAUCUCUCCUCUCCUUUUUUCUCUCUUAUCUAGUAUUAGGGGGUUGAAAAGAUGGAGAAGGGUAGAGGAAAGAACCAACAAUGUAAGGGUUGGGGAUUUAGCUCAGUGGUAGAGCGCUUGCCUAGCAAGUGCAAGGCCCUGGGUUUGGUCCCCAGCUCCGAAAAGAAAAAAAAAAAAAAAAAAAAAAAAGAACCAACAAUGUAGCAAAAGACGGCUACAGUUGCCCAUAGGGAAAGGCCCCACAAUUCAGCCAUGAAGUCAGCUGAGACUGUGGCACAUGAGUUCACUACAGUCCAGUGGAGCUCGACGUUACAGCAGUGAACAACCGGAAAGUGAAGUUAGAGAAAUGGCAUCCCUUAUUUAUCAUAGAAGAAUCCCAUGGGAGUCUAUGUCUAACUUGAAUAAUGUGUGCAGAAGCUCUGCUGAAAGCUUCACAUCUCUGGGAAGGAAACCUGGAGUCCUGGGGAAAUCGUCCCACACUGACUGCUUCAAGAUGUCAACUGCCCAGAAACUGAGUUAUAUAUUCAGUGCAGUCCCAAACAAAACCAGAGUUACCUUUUUAAAAGUCGAAAAACUGAUUCUAAAAGGCACUGAAACGCAAACACGAAAACUGGUCGGCUCCUGACGUUAAAGCAGAACCGAGUAAGAGCAGCACCUGUGGUCUUCAUGCGGGCACUUCAGGGGCCCCAGGAUUCUGCUUUUGAGGGAGGGACUUUUAGAUGUAACCAUUCCUUCCAGAAUGCCACCCAAUGGCAGCACCUAAAGCACCAAUAUUCACCACCCUAAUACGAGGAAGAAUAUGACGGGAUAUUUUGAAAGAGAAGUGGUCCCUGGCAUUGCAGAUCCGCAGUUCUGCCAUCAAUGCAGGCUCUAAGCUCUCCUAAUCCAACUGAUCCAUUAGCAGAUGGUGCAGCCAUGGAAGAGCCACAAAGCCCAAGCCGUGAAACAGUGAGAGCAUGGACACGAAUGACAUUUAAGUCGAUCAGAGAGAUCAUCAAGUGUGCAUCACUCCUGUUCUGCCAACAGUUCUUACUUUUGUUGUUUACAUUCAGUGAACACAGGCUUAGAUUCAUUCCAGAUUAAAAGCCCAGGCCCUGGCGUCUUUAGCAAACCUGCCUUGUCCUGGUUCACCACUGCAGAGCAUGAGCAGAGGCUGGAAACCUCAUCCCGGUUCUUCUGAGAUGUUGGAAAGCAGUGACUCUGCUUUGACUCUCCCCAUUGUAGUUUAAGUACAAGGCACCAAGAAGGAAGCAGGUUAGCUGCCAAGGGUUUGAGUGGUUUUACCUUUUCUUGGGAGGGGGUAGUUUUAUUUCAUUGGUUCCUUUCUCCCCCCCACCCCCCGCCCUCCUAUGAUGAGACCUAACUGCAGUGAUUAAACACAGCUAGCCGGCUUGUUUGGAAUAUGUUCUCUGCCAAGUCUAGAUAGACAAGCCUAAUUAGCAGAAUCAAAGUGGGAACAUUAAACAUUACAGCCUUCACUAAUAACACUGUGGCUUUGCUGUCAAGUGCAGAUUCACUGCCCCCACCCUACCCCAAGAAGAAGGAGGAGGAAGAAGAUGAAGAGGAGGAAGAGAAAGGAAGCUAGCUUGUGACCAUUUUGUAUGGCUUGCCUGGAAACUUCUGUAAAUCUUAUGUUUUAAUAAAAAAAUUUUUUUGUUAUCCAAAAACGAAAAGAAAAAAUGGUCAAGUUCAUUUUGAGAAAGACUGGAUUCCAGGACAGCCAGGGUUACACAGAGCUAUCCCGUUUAAAACCAAAACCCAAUAAAACAAAACCAAAGAGAACUCCAUGAGAAAGACUGGAACUGGAAGACUCACACUGACUCCCAUCAAUCAUGAAGCUACGCCUUUGGAACAGCUCUGAUCACACAGUAUCAGGCAGAAUGACCCACAGGAGCAUCUGGGGACGCAGAGGCCAGGAAAAGAUGAACACACGGAUUUGUCAUACAAGUGUGACAGAAUUCAGUACUGAAAGGGCAGUGAACUGGAUGUCCGUAUGACCUCACACUGAUGCAAAGUUAGCCGAAACGGACCAGUCGUCGAUGAGAAACUUCAAAGGCAGCAGGGACAAAUGGACAAACAAAACCCAGAUCAGCUGCCAAGCCCCAUGUCCAGCAACUCACACCCAUCUGUAACCACAACUCCACAGGACCCGAGGACUGGCAGUGUGGCACCUGCUCGUGAUCGAUCAUAUGCAUGGAGACAGACACAUAUACAUAACUUCAAUUUGUAAAGCUUUCUGCAAAGCAUAGCCCUACUCUAUAACCCAGGAAUAGAUAUUUAUGGAUCUAAAUGCACUGUUAUAUUACAUAGAAAACAGUAUGACACACUCAUAGCCGUCUUCUUCAUAAAUCACCAAAUCUAGAAAUCCAAACAUUACCCAAGUAGUGAAAGAGUAUAUGGUCGUGGCAUAGCCACACAAAGGAAUGCUGUUCAGCAGCAAAGGAAUGAGAGGGGGUGAACUCAGUGUAGAACGUUUGCUUAGUAUGUGAAACUUGGGGUUCCAUCCCUAGUUACCCUCCCCCAAAAGACACAUAAACAACAACAUAGAUGAACUAAAGAACUCCACAAAGUGAAAACCUUAGAUUCAAAAGGCCACUUACUACAGGACUCCAUUUACAUCUUGGAAGAGGUAAACUAUUAGAAAGAAGCCAGAUCAGUGUUUGCUAUGGGUAAGAACGGGGACUAGAGAGGCUCUGGAGAAAGUCCUGGAGCUGUUCAAAAGCCUAACUGUGCCGGCUGGCCGGCAGCAUUUUUCAAAACUUAGAAUGACAUAUAAAAAUCAGUUCCGGGGUUGGGGAUUUAGCUCAGUGGUAGAGCACUUGCCUAGCAAGCGCGAGUCCCUGGGUUCGGGCCCCAGCUCCGGAAAAAAAAAAAAAAAAAAAAAAAAAAAGAAAAAGAAAAAUAAUUGUUUGGGGCUGGCAGGAUGGCUCAGUGGUUAAGAGUACUGGCUGCUCUUCCAGAGGUCCUGAGUUCAAUUCCCAGCAACCACAUGGUGGCUCACAACCAUCUGUACUGGGAUCCAAUGCCCUCUUCUGGUAUGUCUGAAAACAGCUACAGUGUACUUACAUAUAAUAAAUUUAAAAAAAUCAAUUCCACUGUAAAUAAAUUAUUCAUUUAGAGUUAUUUUAAAUGGCAGAAGUUCUCUUGGUCUGUCAAAAAGAGUCCUUUAUUGUGAGGGGGUGUGGUGCACCUCUUUACUCAACAUUUGGGAGGCAGACAAAUUCGAGUUCCAGGCCAGCCAGAGACACAGUGAGACCCAACCUCCCGCCCAAUUCUUCAAUUACCUUUUCAUUUAAGGGGUUGGAUUACGUGCGCCAUGGCGCAGGUCAGAGGACAACCUAGGGGAGUCAACCCUCUCCACCAUGUGAGUGCUGGGACGGACAGAACUCAGGUCAUCCAGCAGCAGGAACCUUUCCUUCCCCACCAAGCCAAUCUCAGCAGCCCCAUUUGGUUUCUGUGAGACAAGGCCCAGGCUGGCCUCAGAUUCACUAUGUAGUCAGUGUUGGUCUUGAACCCCUGAUCCUGCCUCCUGAGAGCUGAGAUUAUAAGGGUAGGUGGGCAUCCAUGUUUGGGUAGAACUUACCGUAUGUAGAAGUUUCUCUGAGAACUUUUAUUAUAAAAACUAGAUGGAAAUUUCUGUUAAAUGUCUCCUGCAUCUAUUGA